rnacentral:rRNA from 1 species
GGUUAAGCGACUAAGCGUACACGGUGGAUGCCCUGGCAGUCAGAGGCGAUGAAGGGCGUGCUAAUCUGCGAUAAGCGCCGGUAAGGUGAUAUGAACCGUUAUAACCGGCGAUACCCGAAUGGGGAAACCCAGUGUGAUUCGUCACACUAUCAUUACGUGAAUACAUAGCGUAAUGAAGCGAACCGGGGGAACUGAAACAUCUAAGUACCCCGAGGAAAAGAAAUCAACCGAGAUUCCCCCAGUAGCGGCGAGCGAACGGGGAGGAGCCCAGAGCCUGAAUCAGCAUGUGUGUUAGUGGAAGCGUCUGGAAAGGCGCGCGAUACAGGGUGACAGCCCCGUACACAAAAGCGCAUGUGUUGUGAGCUCGAUGAGUAGGGCGGGACACGUGGUAUCCUGUCUGAAUAUGGGGGGACCAUCCUCCAAGGCUAAAUACUCCUGACUGACCGAUAGUGAACCAGUACCGUGAGGGAAAGGCGAAAAGAACCCCGGCGAGGGGAGUGAAAAAGAACCUGAAACCGUGUACGUACAAGCAGUGGGAGC